UUGGCCCAACCAUCAUUAAUGGACCAGUUAAUCUUCUUUCCGCUUUGGAGACGAACGGAGUUCACUUCCGGCCAUUAUGUCGUCGUCGCCGAUUCAUCCCGGUUAUUGAUUUGUGUCAUUAUACCAGUUGGCCAGUCCUAGAGCUGAUGCUACCCCUAAAUUACACAAACCCAACUCUGUUUAUCAUCUUCGUUUUCUUCAUCUUUUCAUAAAAUCUCUUCCUCUCUCAUCUCAUGGGUGUCGGUUUCACGGAUUGGUGGAGAAAUAGCAGCUGUUGAUUGAAACUAAAUAGGUAGGGUUAUGAUUCACUGAAAGAUUAGGAGGUUUGUGAUGAGAAUGAGAGGAUGAAAUUAGGGUUUAGAGAGUACACGAGAAACCAUCCACACACGCAUCCUGCAACAACACCUACAUUCAAUCACAGUAAACUUGAAUCACUGGAAGCUUGUAGGCUUUACGUCACAAACUUGAUGCACAGUUACUUCUUUAGAAUUUUCCCAAGUUUUUGAAGAAGCUGAUAACUCUAUGAAGGUGAUUAUUAGCACUUGUUUUGUUCUGAAGCAAACAUAUCUCAUGCAUUCACAUUUUGUAAGAAUGUCAUGAUUACUUAACUUUUUAAAAGUACAGCUAUAGUCCCCAA